AGAGAGAAUUACAGUGGCACCCUAUCAAACAGAAGUUAAAUGUCUCAGAAUCACAGCACAUGGAGACAGAAACCUAUUCUCAGAGUUGUAGACUUGACUAUUAUCAAAUGAUGAAACAUUGGCCGCUCCCUUUUUCAAGAGGAAAUUAGUAUGAAAACAUCAUGUUCAUACUUAUAUCCAUGCACCACAAAAUGUAAAUAAUUCAAGAAAAACAGCA
rnacentral:misc_RNA from 1 species